AGUGAACGCUGGCGGCAUGCCUAACACAUGCAAGUCGAACGGCAGCACAGUAAGAGCUCGCCCUUACGGGUGGCGAGUGGCGGACGGGUAAGGAAUACAUCGCAAUCUACUAUGACUGGGGGGACAACGGGAGACAAGUGAUGCUACUAGCUCAUAUGUCCAACGGGUUAAAUCAGGGGAGAUUCACGCCUUUCCUGUCACAUAUAGCCGGAUCCGUGUUGGCUUAGCUAGUUGGUAAGGUAAAGGCCUACCAAGGCUACGAUGCAUGGCCGAUCUGAGAGGAUGAUCAGCCACACUGGAACUGAGACACGGUCCAGACUCCUACGGGAGGCAGCAGUGGGGAAUAUUGGGCAAUGGGCGAAAGCCUGAUCGAGCAACGCCGCGUGAGUGAAGAAGGCCUUCGGAUUGUAAAGCUCUUUUAUUGGGAAAGAAAAGAAGCAGAUGAAUACCCCGCUGUUCUGACGGUACCCAAAGAAUAAGCACCGGCUAACUUCGUG
rnacentral:rRNA from 1 species